rnacentral:rRNA from 1 species
AUUGAACGCUGGCGGCAGGCUUAACACAUGCAAGUCGAGCGAGUGGCGGACGGGUGAGUAAUGUCUGGGAAACUGCCUGAUGGAGGGGGAUAACUACUGGAAACGGUAGCUAAUACCGCAUACCAUCGGAUGUGCCCAGAUGGGAUUAGCUAGUAGGUGGGGUAACGGCUCACCUAGGCGACGAUCCCUAGCUGGUCUGAGAGGAUGACCGGCCACACUGGAACUGAGACAAGGUCCCGACUCCCACGGGAGGGAGCAGUGGGGAAUAUUGGCCAAGGGGCGCAAGCCUGAUGCAGCCAUGCCGGGGGUAUGAAGAAGGCCUUCGGGUUGUAAAGCACUUUCAGCGGGGAGGCGUUACCCGCAGAAGAAGCACCGGCUAACUCCGUGCCAGCCGCCGCGGUAAUUC